AACAAACGCUGGCGGCAGGCUUAACACAUGCAAGUCGAACGCCCCGCAAGGGGAGUGGCAGACGGGUGAGUAACGCGUGGGAACGUGCCCUUCGCUUCGGAAUAGCCCCGGGAAACUGGGAGUAAUACCGGAUACGCCGUAUUGGGAAAGAUUUAUCGGCGAAGGAUCGGCCCGCGUUGGAUUAGCUAGUUGGAGGUGUAAUGGACCCCCAAGGCUACGAUCCAUAGCUGGUCUGAGAGGAUGAUCAGCCACACUGGGACUGAGACACGGCCCAGACUCCUACGGGAGGCAGCAGUGGGGAAUCUUGGACAAUGGGCGCAAGCCUGAUCCAGCCAUGCCGCGUGAGUGAAGAAGGCCUUAGGGUUGUAAAACUCUUUCGCCGGAGAAGAUAAUGACGGUAUCCGGAGAAGAAGCCCCGGCUAACUUCGUGCCAGCCGCCGCGGUAA
rnacentral:rRNA from 1 species